UACGUAGGGUGCGAGCGUUAAUCGGAAUUACUGGGCGUAAAGGGAGCGCAGGCGGUUGUUUAAGUCAGAUGUGAAAUCCCCGAGCUUAACUUGGGAACGGCGUUUGAAACUGGGUAGCUAGAGUAUGUCAGAGGGUGGUAGAAUUCCACGUGUAGCAGUGAAAUGCGUAGAGAUGUGGAGGAACACCGAUGGCGAAGGCAGCCCCCUGGGAUAUUACUGACGUUGAGGCUCGAAAGCGUGGGGAGCAAACAGG
rnacentral:rRNA from 1 species